UGGGGAAUAUUGGACAAUGGGCGAAAGCCUGAUCCAGCCAUGCCGCGUGAGUGAUGAAGGCCCUAGGGUUGUAAAGCUCUUUUAGCGGGGAAGAUAAUGACGGUACCCGCAGAAUAAGCCCCGGCUAACUUCGUGCCAGCAGCCGCGGUAAUACGAAGGGGGCUAGCGUUGCUCGGAAUCACUGGGCGUAAAGGGCGCGUAGGCGGCCAUUCAAGUCGGGGGUGAAAGCCCAGGGCUCAACCCUGGAAUUGCCUUCGAUACUGUUUGGCUAGAGACCGGAAGAGGUAAGUGGAACUGCGAGUGUAGAGGUGAAAUUCGUAGAUAUUCGCAAGAACACCAGUGGCGAAGGCGGCUUACAGGUCCGGUUCUGACGCUGAGGCGCGAAAGCGUGGGGAGCAAACAGG
rnacentral:rRNA from 1 species